rnacentral:rRNA from 1 species
UGGGGAAUAUUGCACAAUGGGCGGAAGCCUGAUGCAGCAACGCCGCGUGCGGGAUGACGGCCUUCGGGUUGUAAACCGCUUUCGCCUGUGACGAAGCGUGAGUGACGGUAAUGGGUAAAGAAGCACCGGCUAACUACGUGCCAGCAGCCGCGGUGAUACGUAGGGUGCGAGCGUUGUCCGGAUUUAUUGGGCGUAAAGGGCUCGUAGGUGGUUGAUCGCGUCGGAAGUGUAAUCUUGGGGCUUAACCCUGAGCGUGCUUUCGAUACGGGUUGACUUGAGGAAGGUAGGGGAGAAUGGAAUUCCUGGUGGAGCGGUGGAAUGCGCAGAUAUCAGGAGGAACACCAGUGGCGAAGGCGAUUCUCUGGGCCUUUCCUGACGCUGAGGAGCGAAAGCGUGGGGAGCGAACAGGCUUAGAUACCCUGGUAGUCCACGCUGUAAACGGUGGGUACUAGGUGUGGGGUCCAUUCCACGGGUUCCGUGCCGUAGCUAACGCUUUAAGUACCCCGCCUGGGGAGUACGGCCGCAAGGCUAAAACUCAAAGGAAUUGACGGGGCCCCGCACAAGCGGCGGAGCAUGCGGAUUAAUUCGAUGC